CUUAGCAUUUGCUCUUAAGUUCUUCAACCAAUUGGAUGAGGCCUACCCACAUCAUGGAGGAUAAUCUUUACUUAGUCAACUGACUGCAGAUGUUAACCACUUCUACAUAAUAACCUAAUUACAGCAACACUUAGAUUAGUGUUUAAUUGAAUAAUGGGUACUAGUGUCUAGCCAAGUAGACAUGUAGGUAAAGCUGGAGUUUUUCCAGGGGGCAGCAGGAAAAAGAAGAAAAGGAAAUCUGGACGUUUUAGGCAGACUCUUCUGGUAUGGUGGAGAAUCAGCAGGGAAUUGAAGAUGUGGACAUCAGAGCCAUCAUUCUGGGACUGGGGAGGAAUGAAGAACAAGCUAGUUGGCUGCAAUGCAUGAAUCAAUUCGCAUUAUCUAAUGAGUUUCUAUUAAAAAACAAAUUUUGGUAUUUCUAAGAUCAAGAGAGCCUUUUGGGGAAAGAGGGUGACUACUGCUCUGGGUUGUAAAAUCUGAAUGUUAGAAAUGUUUUUGGCUGAACAACUAACAAGAAGAAAAGCUUCCUCUGACUAUAGUUUAUUGAAGGAACACAGUGAAUUCACUGACUUCUUUUUGAAACUUGAAAGAAGGAGACUUUAAUAAAAAUUAAUGAAGCCAAGAGAAGGGGAAUGGAGAUUCAUUGCCCAGAGGUCAUUAUUACUCAUAUAAGAUAUGUAAAAAUGUUGUUAUUGACUAAGGUAUACUGG
rnacentral:lncRNA from 1 species